rnacentral:rRNA from 1 species
AUUGAACGCUGGCGGCAGGCCUAACACAUGCAAGUCGAACGAGUGGCGGACGGGUGAGUAAUGUCUGGGAAACUGCCUGAGGGAGGGGGAUAACUACUGGAAACGGUAGCUAAUACCGCAUAAAAUCAGAUGUGCCCAGAUGUGAUUAGCUUGUUGGUGGGGUAACGGCUCACCAAGGCGACGAUCCCUAGCUGGUCUGAGAGGAUGACCAGCGACAGUGGAACUGAGACAAGGUCCAGACUCCGACGUGAGGCAGCAGUGGGGAAUAUUGCACAGUGGGCGCAAGCCUGAUGCAGCGAUGCCGCGUGUAUGAAGAAGGCGUUCGGGUUGUAAAGUACUUUCAGCGGAGAGGCGUUACCCACAGAAGAAGCACCGGCUAACUCCGUGCCAGCAGCCGCGGUAAUUC